rnacentral:lncRNA from 1 species
GGGAAUUUUAAUAUUUUGGGGAGGGGGUUUUAUGAAUUUGAGAAGGGAUUUUAAUUAAUUUGAGGAGGGGGUUUUAAUUAACUUGAGGAGGGGUUUUAAUUAAUUUGAGGAGGGGAUUUUAUUAAUUUGAGGAAGGGGUUUUAAUUAAUUUGAGGAGGGGGUUUUAAUCAAUUUGAGGAGGGGGAUUUUAUUAAUUUGAGGAGGGGGAUUUUAUUAAUUUGAGGAGGGGUUUUAAUUAAUUUGAGGAGGGGGUUUUAAUCAAUUUGAGGAGGGGGUUUUAAUUAACUUGAGGAGGGGGUUUUAAUUAAUUUGAGGAGCGGGUUUUAAUUAAUUUGAGGAUGGAUUUUAAUUAAUUUGAGGAGGGGAUUUUAUUAAUUUGAGGAGGGGGUUUUAAUUAAUUUGAGGAGGGGGUUUUAAUUAAUAUGAGAAGGAGCUUUAAUUAAUUUGAGGAUGGAUUUUUAUUUGAGGAGGGGGAUUUUAUUAAUUUGAGAAGGGAUUUUAAUUAAUUUGAGGAGGGGUUUUAAUUAAUAUAAGGAUGGAUUUUAAUUAAUUUGGGAAGGGGAUUUAAUUAAUUUGAGGAGGGGAUUUUAUUAAUUUGAGGAGGGGUUUUAAUUAAUUUGAGGCAAGGGUUUUAAUUAAUUUGGGGAGGGAGAUUUAAUUAAUUUGAGGAUGGAUUUUAAUUAAUUUGAGGAGGGGGUUUAAUUAAUUUGAGGAGGGGUUUUAAUUAAUUUGAGGAUGGAUUUUAAUUAAUUUGGGGAGGGGGUUUAAUUAAUUUGGGGAGGGAAUUAUUAUUUUAAGGAGGGAAAUUUUAAUAUUUUGCGAUGGGGUUUUUUAUAAUUAACUUUAAUUAAUUGAUUAAUUGCAAUUAAUGAACUCUAAUUAAUUAAUUUCUGUUAAUUACAGGACUUCAUUUUCUUCUGCGACGCCGUGGCCUCGUGGGUGAGCCCCAAGGACGACCUGAGGGAAAUGUUCUACAAGGUGAGGAGGGGGCUUAAAGGGUGGAGACCCCUCCCCAAAUUAACCCUGGGGGGCUUAAAGGGUGGAGACCCCUCC